CACCUGCUCGGCAUCUCCUCUCUCACUUUCUCUAUCUGCAGCUGCUUGUUCGGAUUGAUAUCUUCCUGGAGCAGUACACAGCUCUCCCUGUUCAGCUUCCAACUUUACAUUAGAGUAUAUAGGAGUCUCAGCAGGUCUCGCACCCAGCAUACCACUUUCAUAUGUAAAAUUCGUCUUCACGAAAAGACUAAAAAAGGAAUAGAAUAUUUACUUCAACCUCACGUUGUUGAGAAGCCGCUCCUGAUAUGAAUACUUUGAAGCAAUUUGUGCCCAACAAACUUUGGCUUAGUGGUUUCACAAAGUAUUUUAGAGCACUGCAUUCUUCCUCCCCAAAUGCCUCCGUGGAAGUUCAUUCUCCAGAGCAGGAAGUAGUUAUUGCUUUGGGAAGCAAUGUGGGUGAUAGACUGCAUAAUUUCAACAAAGCCUUGGAGUUGAUGAACAACUCGGGCAUAAAUAUUACAAGACAUGCUUGUUUGUAUGAAACAGCUCCAGCCUAUGUGACCAAUCAGCCUCUCUUUCUCAACUCAGCAGUUAGAGCUGCCACUAAACUCGGCCCACAUGAAUUAUUGGGAGUGCUCAAGAAAAUAGAAACAGACAUGGGUCGUACUGAUGGUAUAAGGUAUGGUCCAAGACCAAUUGACCUGGACAUAUUGUUCUAUGGAAGGUUCAAGGUCCACUCUGAUCUUCUAACUAUACCCCAUGAAAGAAUUUGGGAGAGACCAUUUGUAAUGGCCCCUCUAAUGGAUUUGUUGGGAUCAGUUGCUGAUUGCGAUACAGUUACCUGCUGGCAUUCCUUUUCAGUGGAUUCUGAUGGACUUUUUGAGUCAUGGGAGAAAAUGGGUGGUGAAUCCCUUAUUGGAAAGGAAGGCAUGAAAAGAGUUUUACCCAUUAAAAGGGGUUUAUGGGACUGGUCACAGAGAACCUCUGUCAUGGGUAUUCUGAAUGUGACCCCAGAUAGUUUUAGUGAUGGGGGAAAGUUCGUUUCUGUGGACGCUGCAAUUUCUCAGGUCCGCUUGAUGAUUUCUGAAGGGGCCGAUAUAAUUGAUAUUGGUGCUCAAUCGACAAGGCCAAUGGCCUCUUGGAUAUCUGCUGAAGAAGAACUAGAUAGGCUUAUCCCUGUUUUAGAAGCUGUUGUAAGGAUGCCUGAGGUAGAGGGAAAGCUCAUAUCAGUGGAUACUUUCUAUUCAGAUGUUGUUUCAGAAGCAAUCAACAAAGGGGCUCAUCUUGUGAAUGAUGUAUCUGCUGGGAAGUUAGAUUCUAACAUGCUUAGAGUUGUUGCAGGCCUGAAGGUUCCAUAUGUUGCAAUGCACAUGAGGGGGAACCCAUCUACGAUGCAAAAUACUGAAAACCUCCAGUAUGAUGAUGUUUGUAAGCAGGUAGCUUCUGAGUUAUACUUGAGAGUUAAGGAUGCGGAAUUAUCAGGUAUUCCAGCUUGGAGGAUAAUUAUUGACCCCGGUGUUGGAUUCUCAAAGAGAAGUGAACAUAAUUUGGACAUCCUAACAGGUUUACCAAGCAUUCGUGCAGAGAUUGCAAAAAAGAGUUUCGCCAUGUCUCAUGCUCCUAUAUUGAUUGGACCCUCGAGAAAGAGAUUUUUAGGUGACAUUUGCUCUCGAACUGCUGCAGAUGAGAGAGAUCCUGCCACUAUUGCUUCUGUCACAGCCAGUGUUUUAGGUGGAGCAAACAUUGUUAGAGUACAUAAUGUAAGAGAUAAUCUUGAUGCUGUGAAGGUCUGUGAUGCAAUGCUGAAGCAGAGGAGAUCUUGCGAUUAAAGGAUGUAAAUUAUUUGUUUCUUUUCUAUUCUAAUCGAAAAUCUGUCUUGAUAUGUUUUUCUGCCACACCUAGUUUCUAGUUUCUGGAUCGGUUAUAGAACUAGAAGGCUGCCAUUGGAAGCAUUUGCUUUGCAACCUCAUGUUUACAGUCAACACACUGUUUUUUUCAGGGCUAAGGAUGGAGGAAGUCUGAUCUGCUACUUUCUGACGUUCGGCGAUCACCACGCGCCCCACCAUGGGCUUCCCAAGUCGCCAAUCUUUCAGACGGGCGGAAAAAUUCGCCGAAUAGAGCGGCGCGUGAGCCACAAGCACGGCCCAUAGGUGAGGGCAACGAGCGCAUGUAACCCACACGCCAUCACUCAUAGUGCUUUUCUAGGUCCAGGACCACCGGCUACUUCAGACAUGAGCAUCCACCAUUCCUCCAGGGUGAUGUG